UCCCUGGUAGCUCAGUGGUAAAGAAUCUGCCUGCAAUGCAGGAGACCCUGGUUUGAUUCCUGGGUCGGGAA
rnacentral:tRNA from 1 species